UCUAAUAAUGCACGCGUAUUGAUACAGUAAAUAUGUAAACGUAACAGCGAGCAACGAGCGACCUCAAUGUGCAUGCCUGAUUAGACCUGCAUAUAAGGGGCUUAUAUGCAGCGUUCUCUUUCUAUCCCUGCAUCUGAACCACUUACACGGUAACAGAUAACUCGUGCACUCGUUUCUUAUAUCUCCACGAUGGGAAAUAAACGAAUGACCUUUUCGUGAACGACGAAAUGGUUGCGCGACAAAUUGUCGUCGCUAGUAUCCGCAUAGCCUGACAUUGUUGACGAUCUUCUAGUCCAUAAAAUUUAUCCCGCUCUAACCUAUUAACUGCAGGAUUUAGUUUCAGAAAUCCCUUACGGGAUGCGCAGGUAAAAUCAAGCAACGAUGAACGUACACUGGUCGAAAGCAGAGCAAAUGAUCGUACCAUAAAUUUGACGAAAAGAGUAAAGCAAAACGAGGAAGGAACAUUUUUAUUCGAUAAAAAGUUGGCUAUUCGUCGUUGGAAAAGUGUGAUAUUUUUCAAAGCAAGGUGGUAGCACACCUAGUGGUACUUCGCAGGUCGAGCACCAAUAACGUAGCUGCUUACGGAUUCUAUUUUUUGAUCAGA
rnacentral:misc_RNA from 1 species